UUUAGUAUGCAAAUAAUGUACAAAAUUGGGCUGGAUUUAGAAAGCGCAAAUCACAUUCAAUUGGGAUUAUUUUACUUUUAUUUACUAAAUUUUUUACUAUUUUUGAAAAUGUUACUACCUCAGUUUUUUUUUCCUUUAAGAAAAUUUAUGUGUCUUUAAAUACUGUAGCUCCGUCCUUGAUUUUAAGGGUCUGUUUUACCUGUGGUACAGUACAGCCAGCCUACUUAUUUGUCCCAUUAGCUUUGCAGUUUGGCAGAACCACGUGAUGGAGCUUGAAAAAACUGAACCACAACACUUCCCUUUUUUAGCAUAUUGUAUUGAGGAGGCCGGAGGGAUGGUGAGCCAAGGUUCUAUACAUCCUGUGUCUUGUGCUUUUUUUUUUUUUUUUUAAUGUUGCUGAAAGGAGAUAAAAGCUUAAGCAAAAGAAACCCUGGGCACCCCACAGGAAUCUACUAGAGGAUGUACUUAAUAAAACAAGGAAGUAGAUGAAGAAAAUGGAAGACAUGUGGUGCCAAAACAGGAGUUCCAACCCAGAGGGGGAGGAAGGGGAAUCCCAGGAUGAUGACGAAGAGAAGCUUCUGGGUGGCAGCUGGGCAGCAGGACCAGACAGGAGCACAGAGGACCCUUUUUUCCAAGAAUGAAAAAAGAAACAGAUUCAUCUCCUGAUUUUUAAAUUGUACUUCAGCUCUGUUGGAGAGUUUGGUGAAGAAUUAGUAAUGUGCACAUAGAAACCUAGCAAAUGAAAUAAAAGACAUAAAAGGGAGAUACUAACA